GGGAAUAAUACUAGAAUUGACAUUU
rnacentral:tmRNA from 1 species